UACGUAGGGUGCAAGCGUUGUCCGGAAUUAUUGGGCGUAAAGAGCUCGUAGGCGGUUUGUCGCGUCUGCCGUGAAAGUCCGGGGCUCAACUCCGGAUCUGCGGUGGGUACGGGCAGACUAGAGUGAUGUAGGGGAGACUGGAAUUCCUGGUGUAGCGGUGAAAUGCGCAGAUAUCAGGAGGAACACCGAUGGCGAAGGCAGGUCUCUGGGCAUUACCUGACGCUGAGGCACGAAAGCGUGGGGAGCAAACAGG
rnacentral:rRNA from 1 species